rnacentral:rRNA from 1 species
CAGUAGCCGCGGUAAUACGAAGGGUGCAAGCGUUACUCGGAAUUACUGGGCGUAAAGCGUGCGUAGGUGGUUGUUUAAGUCUGUUGUGAAAGCCCUGGGCUCAACCUGGGAAUUGCAGUGGAUACUGGGCGACUAGAGUGUGGUAGAGGGUAGUGGAAUUCCCGGUGUAGCAGUGAAAUGCGUAGAGAUCGGGAGGAACAUCCAUGGCGAAGGCAGCUACCUGGACCAACACUGACACUGAGGCACGAAAGCGUGGGGAGCAAACAGGAUUAGAUACCCCAGUAGUCCCUGUCUCUUAUAC